rnacentral:rRNA from 1 species
AUGUUCCAUGAGUAUGACGCAGAAGAAACCUGCAAAAUAAGGAUCCCGACAAGUAACGUGAAGGACUGUAUAGCAUGGCAUGGAGAAAACCUUAAAUACCACCGCGACCUAAAUGCGUCCAGCUCAGCUAAUGAUGCGGAUAACAGAAGUAUAUGGGACCUAAUAUGGAAAACAAAGGUCCCUGGAAAGGUUAGGAUCUUUGUGUGGCGAGUUGCGACAGAAACACUCCCUACAAAGGAAAAUAAAUGGAAGAGAACACUGGAGGUGGAUAAUAUAUGCAGCAUUUGUGGCAGAGAGAAGGAGGAUGAGUUCCAUGCGACAAUAAAUUGCGCAAAAGCAAGAGCACUAAGAGAAGAGAUGAGGGAGCACUGGAACCUACCUGCAGAAAACUGUUUUCGUUUUUCAGGCAAGGAUUGGCUACAAAACCUGCUGGGGAAGGGAGACAUGGAGGAGAGGAAAAGGAUCCUCCUUCUACUGUGGAGAGCUUGGUGGCUGCGAGAUAAUUGUGUCCAUGUUGACGGCAGGGCUACAAUUGGC